UACGAAGGGGGCUAGCGUUGUUCGGAUUUACUGGGCGUAAAGCGCACGUAGGCGGAUUGGUCAGUUAGGGGUGAAAUCCCGGAGCUCAACUCCGGAACUGCCUUUAAUACUGCCAGUCUCGAGUCCGGAAGAGGUAAGUGGAACUCCUAGUGUAGCGGUGGAAUGCGUAGAGAUCCGGAAGAACACCGGUGGCGAAGGCGGCCCGCUGGGCAGUGACUGACGCUGAGGAGCGAAAGCAUGGGUAGCAAACAGG
rnacentral:rRNA from 1 species